CACCUAAGGACAACCUUGUCCGCAUCUUUGGACAGUGGGAGGAAGCUGGAGCACCUGGAGGGAACCCACGCAGACUCAGCACCAACACCACUGAGGGAAAGAAGCUGAAUGAAGAUAACAAAACCGCAGGUCCUGGUGAUGGCCUGCCUUGUUUGAUGUCUCGCACGCAGAAGUGAGUAUUCUACUUCAGGCACUACAAUUGUAUUCCCUCUGGAGUGGAGGUAGCCACUCUUAUCUGUCUCAUGUACUACUGUCAGGAAAAAAUGAAUGGUUAUUUUAAAAAAAUCUUACCUGCCCUAGAUUUAACAUUAUUUGCUUUUUCUGUCCUUCAUUCUGGUCAUGGUCAUGCAUCUUCCUGUUCAUCUGUGCCAUGACUGAGUUUUCCAUCUUGCAUCUACUUUGGAUCACUCCACAAAUACCGGUUCUAUACUGCUGAUGUUUCAUUUAUCUAAUGUUAAUUCAAUUGAAACCAUUUUGACAAUAAAGUGGGUGCAGUAAAGCAAAAUUCUGCUUGAAUGUUCAGGUUUUAUUAGUUGUUUAAAUACUUUCUGUUCUGCAGAGUGGAAUCUUCAUUCUACAAAAACGAAAGGCCAUCAUCCGAUGUCUCAUUGACCAUCCGGGAGAAGAUGCAAGUGCCUUGAUGAAGGACUUUGAGACUGCACGCGUCAAGUCGACCAUGUUACUAUAGUAGCCCUGAACGGACAAACCAAACAAUGACUCUAGAUAGGGCCUUCCCAUUUUUCUGAAGUUUCACUGCCAUCGUAGUUUCUCCUAUACACUUGGCCCGACCUAGAGCCAGUCUUUGGUUUGUCAAUUCUGCACUACUGUAGAAACAUGACUAUGCAACGUGGCGGACUCUGAGCAAGAGGACCCCUGCCGUCUGUACACAUAAAAAGGGUCAUAAUAGGUGAUUAUACACUACUGAAAACAUAUUUGUGAAUAUCAUUCUAUUUCUGCCAUAUUUUGCAAAUCUCUCUACACACUGGACUUUAAGUUAAUUCAAAAGCCAAUUAUUUUUGGUGCAUUUUACCCAUU